GACGAACGCUGGCGGCGUGCUUAACACAUGCGAGUCGAACGGAAAGGCCCUGCUUUUGUGGGGUGCUCGAGUGGCGAACGGGUGAGUAACACGUGAGUAACCUGCCCUUGACUUUGGGAUAACUUCAGGAAACUGGGGCUAAUACCGGAUAGGAGCUCCUGCUGCAUGGUGGGGGUUGGAAAGUUUCGGCGGUUGGGGAUGGACUCGCGGCUUAUCAGCUUGUUGGUGGGGUAGUGGCUUACCAAGGCUUUGACGGGUAGCCGGCCUGAGAGGGUGACCGGCCACAUUGGGACUGAGAUACGGCCCAGACUCCUACGGGAGGCAGCAGUGGGGAAUAUUGCACAAUGGGCGGAAGCCUGAGGCAGCAACGCCGCGUGCGGGAUGACGGCCUUCGGGUUGUAAACCGCUUUCGCCUGUGACGAAGCGUGAGUGACGGUAAUGGGUAAAGAAGCACCGGCUAACUACGUG
rnacentral:rRNA from 1 species